UACGUAGGGUGCGAGCGUUAAUCGGAAUUACUGGGCGUAAAGCGCGCGCAGGCGGCUCGUCAAGCCUGACGUGAAAGCCCCCGGCUCAACCGGGGAGGGUCGUCGGGGACUGGCGGGCUUGAGGUCGGCAGGGGGUUGGUGGAAUUCCCGGUGUAGUGGUGAAAUGCGUAGAGAUCGGGAGGAACACCGGUGGCGAAGGCGACGACCUGGGUAGAUACUGACGCUGAGGUGCGAAAGCGUGGGGAGCAAACAGG
rnacentral:rRNA from 1 species